rnacentral:rRNA from 1 species
GACGAACCGUGCGAACGUUGUUCGGAAUCACUGGGCUUAAAGGGCGCGUAGGCGGCCCGCUAAGUCGAACGUGAAAUCCCCGAGCUCAACUCGGGAACUGCGUCCGAUACUGGCGGGCUUGAAUCCGGGAGAGGGAUGCGGAAUUCCAGGUGUAGCGGUGAAAUGCGUAGAUAUCUGGAGGAACACCGGUGGCGAAGGCGGCAUCCUGGACCGGCAUUGACGCUGAGGCGCGAAAGCUAGGGGAGCAAACGGG